rnacentral:lncRNA from 1 species
CUCAACGUAUCACUGAAAUUAUUAAUAUGAAUUUCACUGAAACCAUUAAUAGCAGUCACUUUCAAAAACAUUUCAAAAAUAACCAGUUAAAUAUUUUGGGCUCAAAUUUAGAAAGGUCACCGUUCGUAAAGACAUUUUAGCAUAAUUGCCAAUCUAAUAUGUAUAGAAAAACUCUUAUAGAAAUUCAAGAAUACGGAAUUAUCACAAUUUAUGGGAUGUUAAUUCGCAAAUAAACAUUUCACAGACAAUGCUAUAAUCAAUUGCAAAAUAUAAGUUUUCAAAUAAUAAGGCAGUCAUUUGUACAUGAAAUUUACAAUGUCUAAAUAUUCAAAACCAGUAGAAAGAAAUCUCACAAUUUUACUAAAAGCAG